GCGCUAUGCCUUCAUGUCCUCACCCUUGGGGACAGCGUGAUGCUGGAGGUGACACCCACAGCUGCACCCUCAGGUGCUGUGGAGCAGUCCUGGGCCAAUUUUUGUGAUGGCACUGGUGAGGGGCUUUGUGGCUGCACUCGUCUUUGGCCUCGGAGUCUUCUUUGUCAUCGAUGCCCGCAGCCUCUGGAUACGGAGAGAUGACAACUGUGGUGCCCCCCCAGUGACAGUGAGCAUCUGACCUACGCCGAAAUUCAUGUUGUGCCCCCUGCUCCCCGGCCACCCAUCAGCCCCCCAUUAUCUACACCCAUGUGAGCUGUGGGGGACC